rfam:Ictidomys tridecemlineatus contig035131, whole genome shotgun sequence.
GGGGAUAGAGCUCAGAUGGUAGAGUGCUUGCCUUGCAUGCACAAGGUCCUGGGUUCAAUUCCCAGCACCA